AGUGAACGCUGGCGGUAGGCCUAACACAUGCAAGUCGAACGGCAGCACAGUAAGAGCUUGCUCUUACGGGUGGCGGGUGGCGGACGGGUGAGGAAUACAUCGGAAUCUACUUUUUCGUGGGGGAUAACGUAGGGAAACUUACGCUAAUACCGCAUACGACCUACGGGUGAAAGCAGGGGAUCUUCGGACCUUGCGCGAUUGAAUGAGCCGAUGUCGGAUUAGCUAGUUGGCGGGGUAAAGGCCCACCAAGGCGACGAUCCGUAGCUGGUCUGAGAGGAUGAUCAGCCACACUGGAACUGAGACACGGUCCAGACUCCUACGGGAGGCAGCAGUGGGGAAUAUUGGACAAUGGGCGCAAGCCUGAUCCAGCCAUACCGCGUGGGUGAAGUAGGCCUUCGGGUUGUAAAGCCCUUUUGUUGGGAAAGAAAAGCAGCAGGUUAAUACCCCGCUGUUCUGACGGUACCCAAAGAAUAAGCACCGGCUAACUUCGUG
rnacentral:rRNA from 1 species